GUAAUAUACUAAUGAUUUUGAAAGUCAUAUCUAGGUGUUUAAUUUCACCAUAUUACU
rnacentral:tRNA from 1 species